rnacentral:lncRNA from 1 species
GAAACUAUUGUUCCUGUUUCACACAGAAGAAAACUGAGAUAGGCACUCAUCAUGAGCUCCUGUUCUCAUUCUGCAAAUGGUGAAGCUCUCUAUUGUCCUGACCCCACAGUUCCUGUCCCAUGACCAGGGCCAGCUCACCAAGGAGCUGCAGCAGCACAUAAAGUCAGUGACAUGCCCAUGCGAGUACCUGAGGAAGGUUAUCAAUACUCUGGCUGACCAUCAUCAUUGUGGGACUGGCUUUCGUGGAAGUCCUUGGUUACAUUUCAUUAUUGCGUUUCCGAGAAGUUAUAAAGUUUUCAUUAUCCUCUGGACAGUUUACCUUUGGAUGUCUCUCCUGAAGACUAUCUUGUGGUCUCGAAAUGGACAUGAUGGAUCCACGGAUGUACAGCAGAGAGCCUGGAGGUCCAACCGCUGUAGACAGAAAGGGCUGAGGUCCAUUUGUAUGCACACAAAGAAAAGAGUUUCUUCCUUUCCAGGAAAUAAAAUUGGCCUGAAAGACGUCAUUACUCUAUGGAGACAUGUGGAAACAAAAGUUAGAGCUAAAAUCCGUAAGAGGAAGGUGACAACGAAAAUCAACCAUCAUGACAAAAUCAAUGGAAAGAGGAAGACCGCCAAAAACCAGAAAAUGUUUCAACGUGUGCAAGAGUUGUGGCGGCGGGCAGAGGACUACCACAAACGCAAAAUCCCCCCUUCUGCAAGAAAGCCUCUUUGCAACUGGGUCAGAAUGGUGGCAGCGGAGCAUCGUCAUUCUUCAGGAUUGCCCUACUGGCCCUACCUCACAGCUGAAACUUUAAAAAACAGGAUGGGCCGCCAGCCACCUCCUCCAACUCAACAACAUUCUAUAACUGAUAACUCCCUGAGCCUCAAGACACCUCCCGAAUGUCUCCUUCGUCCCCUUCCACCCUCAGUGGAUGAUAAUAUCAAGGAGUGUCCUCUUGCUCCUCUUCCACCCUCUCCUCUUCCACCCUCAGUGGAUGAUAAUCUCAAGGAGUGUCUCCUUGCCCCUCUUCCACCCUCUCCUCUUCCACCCUCAGUGGAUGAUAAUCUCAAGACUCCUCCCUUAGCUACUCAGGAGGCCGAGGCAGAAAAACCACCCAAACCCAAGAGGUGGAGGGCGGAUGAGGUGUAA